GAUGAACGCUGGCGGCGUGCCUAAUACAUGCAAGUCGAGCGAACGGACGAGUAGCUUGCUUCUCUGAUGUUAGCGGCGGACGGGUGAGUAACACGUGGAUAACCUACCUAUAAGACUGGGAUAACUUCGGGAAACCGUAGCUAAUACCGGAUAAUAUUUUGAACCGCAUGGUUCAAAAGUGAAAGACGGUCUUGCUGUCACUUAUAGAUGGAUCCGCGCUGCAUUAGCUAGUUGGUAAGGUAACGGCUUACCAAGGCAACGAUGCAUAGCCGACCUGAGAGGGUGAUCGGCCACACUGGAACUGAGACACGGUCCAGACUCCUACGGGAGGCAGCAGUAGGGAAUCUUCCGCAAUGGGCGAAAGCCUGACGGAGCAACGCCGCGUGAGUGAUGAAGGUCUUCGGAUCGUAAAACUCUGUUAUUAGGGAAGAACAUAUGUGUAAGUAACUGUGCACAGCUUGACGGUACCUAAUCAGAAAGCCACGGCUAACUACGUG
rnacentral:rRNA from 1 species